UGGGGAGGAGGGGGGCGCAAAAAAUAUAUCAGCAACAUAAUUAUGGAUGCUUGGAGACGUGGUCAUGUGACUUUCAAGACCAAUAGCGGCGUGGAAGUGGCCUUGAUGCUCCAGACUGCCGUGACGUCAGCGCGGUCAAGUUGGGAAGGGUGAGGUGUCUUGCGUGGAGCAAGAGCGACACCCAGUGGCCGUCUGCGGAACGGCAAGGCACGGCGAGGCCUUAGCUUGGCGAACAAAGGCGGGCUACUCAGGCUUCCUCGAGCUCAAAACAUUUGCACAGCAACUUAGUGGCUCGCGCCCCUCCGCCAUUUCUCGGCAUUCAAGUUCAAAACGAGCUUUUUUCUCGAAACACAAUGCGUGCUUUCGAAGGACAAGUGGACGGGAAACAGUCUGACGGACGCGACUCAUGCUUGGCAAGCUUUCUCAAAAUGACAAACCACAACGAGAAGAAUAAGACGAUGUUGUGUUGUGUAUUUUUUUUCAAACUAUCUUGGCCUUCACUUAUUCUGUACACAGAGGCGGGUGCUCGUGUCAAGUAUUCACCACACCCUUAAGAAUGCGGGGUUAAAAAAAUUGGACCGACCAAGGACGGGUGGACUUUGCGAGAAAAAAAAAAAAACGCAUUUGUUUGGGGUUGUUUCAUUCAUAAAAAAAAAAAAAA